rnacentral:tRNA from 1 species
GAGUUUAUAGCUGUUAUAGCACUUUGAUUUCGGCUCAAAGAGUUGGGUUUGUAACCCAUAAACUUU